rnacentral:rRNA from 1 species
CGUGUAGGCGGCCAGAUAAGUCAGAUGUGAAAACCCUUGGCUUAACCAAGGAAGUGCAUUUGAAACUGUCUGGCUUGAGUACGGGAGGGGGAAGUGGAAUUCCCGGUGUAGAGGUGAAAUUCGUAGAUAUCGGGAGGAACACCGGUGGCGAAGGCGGCUUCCUGGACCGAUACUGACGCUGAGACGCGAAAGCGUGGGGAGCAAACAGGAUUAGAUACCCUGGUAGUCCACGCCGUAAACUUUGGGCACUUGGUGUUGCGGGUAUUGACCCCUGCAGUGCCGGAGCUAACGCAUUAAGUGCCCCGCCUGGGGAGUACGGUCGCAAGGCUAAA